CUGUUCGCCAUUUAAAGUGGUACGCGAGCUGGGUUUAGAACGUCGUGAGACAGUUCGGUCCCUAUCUGCCGUGGGCGCUGGAGAACUGAGGGGGGCUGCUCCUAGUACGAGAGGACCGGAGUGGACGCAUCACUGGUGUUCGGGUUGUCAUGCCAAUGGCACUGCCCGGUAGCUAAAUGCGGAAGAGAUAAGUGCUGAAAGCAUCUAAGCACGAAACUUGCCCCGAGAUGAGUUCUCCCUGACCCUUUAAGGGUCCUGAAGGAACGUUGAAGACGACGACGUUGAUAGGCCGGGUGUGUAAGCGCAGCGAUGCGUUGAGCUAACCGGUACUAAUGAACCGUGAGGCUUAACCUUACAACGCCGAAGGUGUUU
rnacentral:rRNA from 1 species